CUCCAUAGGCUGCAGUGCCCCUUAGCACCAGAAGGCCCACCCCAUAGAUAGCUCUGCUCCUCAGCACCCCCAACUCUAGUCCCCAACAGACAGUUCCAGCCCCCCCAACUCUAGUCCCCUCUCCCACUGUAGACCCUCCACCCCACACACUUCCUGGUGCAGGACCACCCCAAUCUCUUCACUCCCACUGCCCCUGUCAGCUCCAGCUCCUCCCCUGCUCCAGACCCCCGCAUCCCAGCUUAGAUCGCUCCAGGCCCCUUCCACUUCCUAGGUCUGCCCAUUACCUGCUUUUGCCCUCUCGGGACCCCUAGCCUCUUAGCCUCAGCUUCACCCUCCCCCCCCCCCCAUUUCCUUGCUGUAAAUCCUUCCUCUGGAGCUAGGCCCCUUAAGCCCCUGGAGAUUACCUUCUGCCCACUUCAGUUGCCCACCUACAACCCCAGCUCCAUGCCCUUCUGCACUUCUAGGCAGCUACCAGAGACUUCCUGGGAGGAAGCGGAGACCAGGCCUGCCACAUGGCUGGUGCUACCAAGUCCUUGUGCAGUCAGGAAGAGGAGGGACGUAAGAAGCAGCAGAGCCAUCAAGGGACUGGAGCAGGAGUUCCACAGCAGGAUGGUUCAUGGAUGAAUAUUGCUUUCACCCACUCGCAAGUGUCCAGAGCCUCUGCUGAGGGGGAGAGCCAUCUUCAGGCACCAAAGAAAAAGGUGGCAAGCAGGAGUGUGGACCAGAAGAACCCUCCAUUUGAGGACUUUAAGGGAACUUUGAUAGAUCAAGACCCCAAAGAUGCUAAAUCUCAUCAACAUUCCGUGAAGAAUCAGAGAGCCUUUGUUUACCAGCCCAGCUCAACAGAACACGCUCAAGGAGAUCCACCACCACUGGCUAAACUGGCCGUAGCACCAGCUGAAAAAAGAGAGGCGUGUGACAACUCAGAGGCUCCGUCUGAGAUCAAAAGUCCGAGGCAGAUGCAGCCCCUUGCCAAGAGCACACAAACUGAAGAAUCCUCUCCAAACCAGACCCAGCCGCCCUGCUUCCCAGAUGGCAGAGGGAACAAGAACAGCUUUGGGCUUGAGAAGAGGAACUCUCCCCCUCCACUGGGAGGAGCAGGAAGGAAGUGGGCAGAGGGCUCUGAAGUGGACCGUGAAGAGGAACUGAAAGAGGUAAUGGACCAUCUGUACCCACUUGCAUGGAGGCCACCCAAAGCCUUCUGUAGCUUCAUGUGGCAGUUCCCAAUUGAGUACAGCACAGGACUCUGAGAGCCCUAUUUCGAUAUAUAUGUGUCUGAGGCAACCUCCCUGUGCCUAGCCACUACAGCAGGCCCUAGAUACAUCCAUGCAUCCAUAAUGUAGUGCACAAAUUAACAGUAGUGAUCUAUAGACGUGGCCGGUGCUCGUGUAAUUGAUUCCAAAAUGGUAUGUUUUAAAUAUCAGUAUCCCUCUGUGGGGCGCAGAUCCACAGAGCCAGCUAGACUGGAGAGCUGUAUUUUGUAGAGCUCAAUGGUUCUCACACUGGUCUCUGGUCUCCAGUUACAGCAAGGCUUCAAGCGGCGUUGGAGCCCCGUCGGUGAAUACUUAACUCAUCCAAAAAGCCUCUGGAGACUCUCAACUCUGCAUCCUGUGCAGCUGCUUCAUGGCCUCUGCAAGCUGUCCGGGGGCAUUCUCUAGGAACCUCUGGUUUUUAUUUAGCCUUUGAUCAGCUCCAUCUGUUCUGCUCUUGUGUUUCAAUCCCUAUAAUGGAAGCAGUCGGCUGCUGGAGUGACAAGAGUGAGAGAAAGCAGAGCAGGGUGUGUUUGGUGUAAACGCCGCUGCGAUCGAAUUGGCACAUGAUGCCAAAAGUGGCCAUGACGGCGAAUGCUCAGUAGGAGAGACCCCGGCUGCAGAAGGCUCUGAAGAGGUGAGAGCCAGGCCGGCCUCAGGCUGUGAUUGAGGAGCCAGAGAGCUUAGUUUACA
ensembl:lncRNA